rnacentral:lncRNA from 1 species
CUAAGCAUGGACUAUCUUAUAUUUACUUAGUGAUCAUGAAGAACAGUUGUACGAACAUCAUACUUAAAAUCACAGAGAUUAAAUAUGAUUCAAAAGAAGAUAUCCAUUAAAAACAAUAAGUUCAUACAACCCCAAGAAUAUAAAAUAAAAUAUAAAACCCGUGUCCCUUUGUUUGGGCUGUAUCCAGCCCUGGAGAAGAGCUCAGGCUUCCAUGCAGUGAUAGACGGCAGCAGCGGCAUAGCAACGGGCUUCCAUCACGAUC